CGGCUUACACUGCUCCUUUGUGAAUAUUUUUAUGGCAAUAGGAAUAAAGGGAAAAAGUCUGGGAAGUACUGACCACAAAGCAGGCACGAGUCUCCAGCCACAAUAAUUCAUUAACAACUAGCCCACUUUGUACAUAAAAGUGCUAAAGGAGUGCCAUUGUGAACUGUUGUGAUUAGACAGGAAAGGGAAGGAUGAUUCUACAUCUGGUGUAACUACAAUCACUUACUCUUUUUACUGCCCAUAAUGAAAGUCCUAAUUUUAGCUUGUACUUGGGUACUAGUAUUUUGUUUUUCUGUUUUUUUUUCAUGUACAAAAAUGCUAACUAAUUGGAACAAUUAUUAUUUUUGAAUUUUAAUGAAGAACCAGACAAGAAAGGCAGUUAAUUUCUACCUAGUGAUCUGAUACGGUCCUUGGAGCCAUGCCACAAUGUGCAUUGCUUUUACUGAACAAGGCUCUCAGUACUGUCUGACCAUGUGCCUAGCAAAAAGCCACUGAUUCAAUUAUGGGCUGCAGAAAGAUAAGGUUACAUAGUCAUUUUAUAGCACUCAACUUCUAAACUAGGGGAAGAGAUUAGGGAAAAAACAAUGAUUAUUUAAUUAUUUAACAGCAGGAAAAUAAAAAUUUUAAUAUGUGUGCACUGUGAAUUCACGUAAACAUAAAAGCCAAUGAUUUAUUUUUAAAAAAGAGACAUCUAAUUGGGUGAAGCCAAUUCUAUGGAACUUGGAUAUGAACAAUAAAUAUGUAUGUUAUAGGUUUCUUAUACAGUUGUCUAGGGAAAAACCCUGGAUCACUUUUCUGAAUAGUGGCCCAUUGUAGAAAAACAAUAUACAGUAAUUUCUUGAAUGUCAUCAGUUAUGCUGGGUAUCAAAAGAUAUUUUUAUUGGCCAUAUAUAAUAAAAUAUACUGGAUAAUUCUAGAUGGUUAAACUUUU